rnacentral:rRNA from 1 species
UCGAACGAUGAUCCCAGCUUGCUGGGGGAUUAGUGGCGAACGGGUGAGUAACACGUGAGUAACCUGCCCUUGACUCGGGGAUAAGCCUGGGAAACUGGGUCUAAUACCGGAUACGACCAUCUGGCGCAUGUCAUGGUGGUGGAAAGCUUUUGUGGUUUUGGAUGGACUCGCGGCCUAUCAGCUUGUUGGUGGGGUAAUGGCCUACCAAGGCGACGACGGGUAGCCGGCCUGAGAGGGUGACCGGCCACACUGGGACUGAGACACGGCCCAGACUCCUACGGGAGGCAGCAGUGGGGAAUAUUGCACAAUGGGCGCAAGCCUGAUGCAGCGACGCCGCGUGAGGGAUGACGGCCUUCGGGUUGUAAACCUCUUUCAGUAGGGAAGAAGCGUAAGUGACGGUACCUGCAGAAGAAGCGCCGGCUAACUACGUGCCAGCAGCCGCGGUAAUACGUAGGGCGCAAGCGUUAUCCGGAAUUAUUGGGCGUAAAGAGCUCGUAGGCGGUUUGUCGCGUCUGCUGUGAAAGACCGGGGCUCAACUCCGGUUCUGCAGUGGGUACGGGCAGACUAGAGUGCAGUAGGGGAGACUGGAAUUCCUG